UACGUAGGGGGCAAGCGUUGUCCGGAAUCAUUGGGCGUAAAGAGCGUGUAGGCGGCUUGGUAAGUCCGCUGUGAAAGUCCAGGGCUCAACCCUGGAAUGCCGGUGGAAACUGUCAAGCUUGAGUCCGGAAGAGGCGAGUGGAAUUCCUGGUGUAGCGGUGAAAUGCGCAGAUAUCAGGAGGAACACCAAGUGCGAAGGCAGCUCGCUGGGACGUUACUGACGCUGAGACGCGAAAGCGUGGGGAGCAAACAGG
rnacentral:rRNA from 1 species